rnacentral:rRNA from 1 species
GGGUUGUGAGGUUAAGCGACUAAGCGUACACGGUGGAUGCCCUGGCAGUCAGAGGCGAUGAAGGGCGUGCUAAUCUGCGAUAAGCGCCGGUAAGGUGAUAUGAACCGUUAUAACCGGCGAUACCCGAAUGGGGAAACCCAGUGUGACUCGUCACACUAUCAUUAACUGAAUCCAUAGGUUAAUGAGGCGAACCGGGGGAACUGAAACAUCUAAGUACCCCGAGGAAAAGAAAUCAACCGAGAUUCCCCCAGUAGCGGCGAGCGAACGGGGAGGAGCCCAGAGCCUGAAUCAGCAUGUGUGUUAGUGGAAGCGUCUGGAAAGGCGCGCGAUACAGGGUGACAGCCCCGUACACAAAAGCGCAUGUGCUGUGAGCUCGAUGAGUAGGGCGGGACACGUGGUAUCCUGUCUGAAUAUGGGGGGACCAUCCUCCAAGGCUAAAUACUCCUGACUGACCGAUAGUGAACCAGUACCGUGAGGGAAAGGCGAAAAGAACCCCGGCGAGGGGAGUGAAAAAGAACCUGAAACCGUGUACGUACAAGCAGUGGGAGCACCCUUCGGGGUGUGACUGCGUACCUUUUGUAUAAUGGGUCAGCGACUUAUAUUCUGUAGCAAGGUUAACCGUAUAGGGGAGCCGUAGGGAAACCGAGUCUUAACCGGGCGUUAAGUUGCAGGGUAUAGACCCGAAACCCGGUGAUCUAGCCAUGGGCAGGUUGAAGGUUGGGUAACACUAACUGGAGGACCGAACCGACUAAUGUUGAAAAAUUAGCGGAUGACCUGUGGCUGGGGGUGAAAGGCCAAUCAAACCGGGAGAUAGCUGGUUCUCCCCGAAAGCUAUUUAGGUAGCGCCUCGUGAAUUCAUCUCCGGGGGUAGAGCACUGUUUCGGCUAGGGGGCCAUCCCGGCUUACCAACCCGAUGCAAACUGCGAAUACCGGAGAAUGUUAUCACGGGAGACACACGGCGGGUGCUAACGUCCGUCGUGAAGAGGGAAACAACCCAGACCGCCAGCUAAGGUCCCAAAGUCAUGGUUAAGUGGGAAACGAUGUGGGAAGGCCCAGACAGCCAGGAUGUUGGCUUAGAAGCAGCCAUCAUUUAAAGAAAGCGUAAUAGCUCACUGGUCGAGUCGGCCUGCGCGGAAGAUGUAACGGGGCUAAACCAUGCACCGAAGCUGCGGCAGCGACACUGUGUGUUGUUGGGUAGGGGAGCGUUCUGUAAGCCUGUGAAGGUGGCCUGUGAGGGUUGCUGGAGGUAUCAGAAGUGCGAAUGCUGACAUAAGUAACGAUAAAGCGGGUGAAAAGCCCGCUCGCCGGAAGACCAAGGGUUCCUGUCCAACGUUAAUCGGGGCAGGGUGAGUCGACCCCUAAGGCGAGGCCGAAAGGCGUAGUCGAUGGGAAACGGGUUAAUAUUCCCGUACUUGGUGUUACUGCGAAGGGGGGACGGAGAAGGCUAUGUUGGCCGGGCGACGGUUGUCCCGGUUUAAGCGUGUAGGUGUGUGUUCCAGGUAAAUCCGGUUCACUUUAACACUGAGGCGUGACGACGAGGCACUACGGUGCUGAAGCAACAAAUGCCCUGCUUCCAGGAAAAGCCUCUAAGCAUCAGGUAACAUCAAAUCGUACCCCAAACCGACACAGGUGGUCAGGUAGAGAAUACCAAGGCGCUUGAGAGAACUCGGGUGAAGGAACUAGGCAAAAUGGUGCCGUAACUUCGGGAGAAGGCACGCUGACACGUAGGUGAAGUGAUUUACUCAUGGAGCUGAAGUCAGUCGAAGAUACCAGCUGGCUGCAACUGUUUAUUAAAAACACAGCACUGUGCAAACACGAAAGUGGACGUAUACGGUGUGACGCCUGCCCGGUGCCGGAAGGUUAAUUGAUGGGGUCAGCGCAAGCGAAGCUCCUGAUCGAAGCCCCGGUAAACGGCGGCCGUAACUAUAACGGUCCUAAGGUAGCGAAAUUCCUUGUCGGGUAAGUUCCGACCUGCACGAAUGGCGUAAUGAUGGCCAGGCUGUCUCCACCCGAGACUCAGUGAAAUUGAACUCGCUGUGAAGAUGCAGUGUACCCGCGGCAAGACGGAAAGACCCCGUGAACCUUUACUAUAGCUUGACACUGAACAUUGAGCCUUGAUGUGUAGGAUAGGUGGGAGGCUUUGAAGUGUGGACGCCAGUCUGCAUGGAGCCGACCUUGAAAUACCACCCUUUAAUGUUUGAUGUUCUAACGUGGACCCGUAAUCCGGGUUGCGGACAGUGUCUGGUGGGUAGUUUGACUGGGGCGGUCUCCUCCUAAAGAGUAACGGAGGAGCACGAAGGUUGGCUAAUCCUGGUCGGACAUCAGGAGGUUAGUGCAAUGGCAUAAGCCAGCUUGACUGCGAGCGUGACGGCGCGAGCAGGUGCGAAAGCAGGUCAUAGUGAUCCGGUGGUUCUGAAUGGAAGGGCCAUCGCUCAACGGAUAAAAGGUACUCCGGGGAUAACAGGCUGAUACCGCCCAAGAGUUCAUAUCGACGGCGGUGUUUGGCACCUCGAUGUCGGCUCAUCACAUCCUGGGGCUGAAGUAGGUCCCAAGGGUAUGGCUGUUCGCCAUUUAAAGUGGUACGCGAGCUGGGUUUAGAACGUCGUGAGACAGUUCGGUCCCUAUCUGCCGUGGGCGCUGGAGAACUGAGGGGGGCUGCUCCUAGUACGAGAGGACCGGAGUGGACGCAUCACUGGUGUUCGGGUUGUCAUGCCAAUGGCACUGCCCGGUAGCUAAAUGCGGAAGAGAUAAGUGCUGAAAGCAUCUAAGCACGAAACUUGCCCCGAGAUGAGUUCUCCCUGAGACUUUAAGUCUCCUGAAGGAACGUUGAAGACGACGACGUUGAUAGGCCGGGUGUGUAAGCGCAGCGAUGCGUUGAGCUAACCGGUACUAAUGAACCGUGAGGCUUAACCUUACAACGCCGAAG